rnacentral:rRNA from 1 species
UACGUAGGGUGCAAGCGUUAAUCGGAAUUACUGGGCGUAAAGCGUGCGCAGGCGGCUCUGUAAGUCAGAUGUGAAAUGCCCGGGCUUAACCUGGGAACUGCAUUUGUGACUGCAUGGCUAGAGUUUGGCAGAGGGGGGUAGAAUUCCACGUGUAGCAGUGAAAUGCGUAGAUAUGCGGAGGAACACCGAUGGCGAAGGCAAUCCCCUGGGCCUGCACUGACGCUCAGGCACGAAAGCGUGGGGAGCAAACAGG